rnacentral:lncRNA from 1 species
CACACACACACAAAAUGGCACACUCAAACUGGAAAUUAAAGGAGGGUUUUAUAAAGCCUUUCUUUCGGCAAUACUAUGUUUUCUGUGUAGGAAAACUGUAACAAACUGCUCACUACCCUAGGACUACUAACAAUGAAGCACUGCUACCAUCCUGAGCCUCCUGAGAGUGAAGUGAAGAAAUAGUUUUCCAAAGAGAGAGAGAGAGAAGUCUACCUGACAGAAAUUGUGACCUUCCAUCCUUGUGAAAGACUGAAUAGGAGAAUAACACUCUGACUUCACUCCCCUCACACUCACCAAACUCGUGGAAGUGUCUUGUAUUGAAGUUAAACAACUGAAUGCUAGAAGACAAAGGAGCCAAUUGAUUCAGCUUACAAGGACCUAAGUACAUGUCUGCAAAAGGAGGGCCAAAUAAAAGUUCUCUCUUCCAGUGAGAUAUGGACUUCUUUUUUAUACAUCUCAACCUACUCUACUACUUGGAAUUAUUUCCCAUAAAGCUCUUUGGUGUCUCAUACACAGAAAGUCCAGCAGAAGGUUUCUG